rnacentral:rRNA from 1 species
CCUACGGGUGGCAGCAGUCGAGAAUCAUUCACAAUGGGGGAAACCCUGAUGGUGCGACGCCGCGUGGGGGAAUGAAGGUCUUCGGAUUGUAAACCCCUGUCAUGUGGGAGCAAAUUAAAAAGAUAGUACCACAAGAGGAAGAGACGGCUAACUCUGUGCCAGCAGCCGCGGUAAUACAGAGGUCUCAAGCGUUGUUCGGAAUCACUGGGCGUAAAGCGUGCGUAGGCUGUUUCGUAAGUCGUGUGUGAAAGACGCGGGCUCAACCCGCGGACGGCACAUGAUACUGCGAGACUAGAGUAAGGGAGGGGUAACCGGAAGUCUCGGUGUAGCAGUGAAAUGCGUAGAUAUCGAGAGGAACACUCGUGGCGAAGGCGGGUUCCUGGACAUUAACUGACGCUGAGGCACGAAGGCCAGGGGAGCGAAAGGGAUUAGAUACCCUGGUAGUC